AUUGAACGCUGGCGGCAGGCCUAACACAUGCAAGUCGAACGGUAGCACAGAGGAGCUUGCUCCUUGGGUGACGAGUGGCGGACGGGUGAGUAAUGUCUGGGAAACUGCCCGAUGGAGGGGGAUAACUACUGGAAACGGUAGCUAAUACCGCAUAACGUCUUCGGACCAAAGUGGGGGACCUUCGGGCCUCACACCAUCGGAUGUGCCCAGAUGGGAUUAGCUAGUAGGUGGGGUAAUGGCUCACCUAGGCGACGAUCCCUAGCUGGUCUGAGAGGAGGACCGGCCAAACUGGAACUGAGACACGGUCCAGACUCCUACGGGAGGCAGCAGUGGGGAAUAUUGCACAAUGGGCGCAAGCCUGAUGCAGCCAUGCCGCGUGUAUGAAGAAGGCCUUCGGGUUGUAAAGUACUUUCAGCGGGGAGGAAGGCGGUGAGGUUAAUAACCUUGCCGAUUGACGUUACCCGCAGAAGAAGCACCGGCUAACUCCGUGCCAGCCGCCGCCGUAA
rnacentral:rRNA from 1 species